GACUGUGUUACAAUGAACUGCCCCUGACCUCUACUGGAUUUCAUCAGAACAGCUCAGCUGUGUGUCACAGACCCUAUACUGCUACAAGAGUUAUUGUUUUUCCAGAUUUCCCCAGAUGUUUUCCUGAUUCUUCACUUGCAAGGUGUCACGCCUCAGACUUCAAAGGGCUGUUGGUGCAUUAAUUCCUUAAACAUGAAAGGUGACACCACUCUGGAGGAGAGGAAGGGAUAUAGAUUCCAACUACGACUGUUCUAAGGAUUUGUGAAAAUUGCCCAGAUGGGGAUGGCAGUGGGGAGUGCCAAACAGCCAGUAAGUCACUCAUUCAUGGAGCAAGCAAGAGCGCAACUUGAAAUCAUGGCCCAGCUCCUCUUGGGGACUCUUCCAAGCUCCUGUCAGAGCUCUGAUGACCCCCUCCCAUUUCUUUCAUUAUACUCCUCUGACCUUGCAUUGUGUCGGCUGAUCUUGUGACCUGAGAAGGACUGGAUAUCAUCUCCUUCUGGGGCUAGCCAAUGACAUAGGGGCAGGGGGUCACUGCAGCAUUCAUUCCUUUUCCCUAUGGGCCUGAACAUUCACCUUAACAGAUUUUCAUCCUGCCAGCUCUUCGUCCUCCACCCUGCCAGCUCUUCCGUCCCUUCUAGGUUCCAUAUAGAUAAAUCUUGACCAAAAAAGCUUGACAAAAAAACUGGAUCUGAACACUUGUCAGUGUUUUCUCCUUGCUUAAAAUAAGCCUUCUCUCUUUCUUUUAUUUUUUCCCUGAUUUGGUCAGAUGAUGAUUUUGAGGAGGCAGGUGAAGGUGGAAAUUAGUCAACACGUAGCAGAACAGUGUUAUCAUCAAGGAAGAAGAGUUGUUCCAUAAUGCAAGGGACUGGUGGUGAGAUGGAGCAAAGGAAUAUUUAGUCUGGAUUCCAAGAAACACUUCUUGGAAUAUGAAAUUCUCUUAAGCUAUGGAAGAAUCUCCCAAAGGAAGCCCUCCCUAUUGCCUGCCUCCUUUAGAACUGGGCUGGAUACAGUGCUGAACAAUCUAUAGUAGGAAGUCCUGAAGGUAACAUCAGUUGGUGUCCAAUUUAAAUGACUUUCUUUGCAUUCUAUGUUGUGUUGCUCUAAAUAGGUGGUUCUACAGAGAUGUUGUACUCCACACCUGCAAUGUGUGAUUUUCUGACACUUACAGUUUCAUUGUUUCUAAAGCAAAUUUCUUCAAACAUGCAUGUUUAGGUGACAAGUCAGAUGUUUUAAAAAUAUAGUGACAUGGAGCUGUGUCAGAAAGGGCUAAAUUCUGCUCUUGACUAUGUCAAUAUCAAUCUGGAGGUAGCUCUGUUGAAGGCAGUUGAGUUACUCUGGGUUGACGCUGGUAUAACAGCAAGCAGGAUUUGGCCAAAGUGUCUGAAAAAUGUCUUUCCAGUGUGUCCCUAAGAACCCCUCAAUGCCAACUGACAAAGGGUUCACUGUUUUGUAACCGGUUUCAGAGUAGCAGCCGUGUUAGUCUGUAUUCGCAAAAAGAAAAGGAGUACUAGUGGCACCUUAGAGACUAGCCAAUUUAUCUGAGCAUAAGCUUUCGUGAGCUACAGCUCACUUCAUCGGAUGCAUUUUUUGUAUGCAUGUUUUGUAACCACAACUCCUAACGAGUGUAACAAACUCACUAUGCCUAACGCACUGUUUUCAUGGUAUUUAUCCAUAAAUAGUGUUUUGUAAGGUAUCUUAUGUCCUACUCAUCCUGGAAAUCAUUGCAAGAUGUUUUUUGCAAGAUGCAAACAGGUUUUGUCAGACAAAAGGAUGUAGAUUCAACUGUUUGCCCUUGCUUAUAUGUAGAUUAAGCAUUGUAAGUCACCUCAAUGCAAGCCCCAUUUUGCACAUGGAGUCAACAUGAAGAUGUGAAGGCAUCCUGGAGCCAGCACAUCAGGAAGGGAACCAGGGGGGUCAUCCCGAAUGGGCACAAAACAAUAAGUUUUGGAAAAUAUAAGGAGCAGCAAAAAGCCAUUUUGGGAUCCAUUCACGGAGGAAACCCCUUGAAGGAUAUGGGAUAUUCAUAAAAACUUGGAUCCUGGUUUUGACUGAACCACCAGCAGCUCUCUCAAACACUAAAUCCUUGGGAGAAAAUUUACUUUAUUAAAUAGAAAAGGUACCAUUGAUAAGUGUAUUCCUAAGCCUGUGUUUUAUGUUUUGUUUUGAAUGUGUAAAAAUUGCGGUUUCUACUCAUUAUCCUAACUCACUAUCUUGUAAAA